rnacentral:lncRNA from 1 species
AUGUGGCUGGGUAGGUCCACUUAUCUGGUUCUCCAGCACAGCAGCUCCAGAGCUUUGACCUGCCACGGGAAGGAGGCUGGGUCUCUGCUGAGCGAUCCAUGCAGCAGCGUAGCAGGAACGUAUCUACUUUGGCAGAACUCAUUGCUGGAGUUUCUGAAGUCCAAGAUAGCCGCUCUGGUCAAAUCAGGAAAAAAAGAUACUCCACAUCCUGAAGAAAGAGCAAAGUCGAGCAAGAUGUUCCAGGGAAGGAUCCAAAGCAAUUUGUGUCACCUCAUGAUGCAGGCAAGACAGGAGGAUUCCAAAAUUAGAAGGUGCUCUUCCCUUUCCCCAUUAAAUUAAAAGUGUUGUGGAAAUAACUCCAGCCUUGAUGUCUUUUAACUACCCACUCUGGGCUCCUCCUUUGGCUGACAGCACAAGUUCCUGGGUUUUUAGGUGACAAGCAAAGGGGCUGACAAAGUCUCCUUUCCCUUGUGCUUUGCCCAGUGUUACAGUGGCCACAUUACCUAAAAUAAAACCCAUGUUUAAAAACCA